UACGUAGGGUGCAAGCGUUAUCCGGAAUUAUUGGGCGUAAAGAGCUCGUAGGCGGUUUGUCACGUCUGCUGUGAAAACUGGAGGCUCAACCUCCAGCCUGCAGUGGGUACGGGCAGACUAGAGUGCGGUAGGGGAGAUUGGAAUUCCUGGUGUAGCGGUGGAAUGCGCAGAUAUCAGGAGGAACACCGAUGGCGAAGGCGGUGGUCUGGGCCGGCACUGACGCUGAGGAGCGAAAGCGUGGGGAGCGAACAGG
rnacentral:rRNA from 1 species